UACGAAGGGGGCUAGCGUUGCUCGGAAUCACUGGGCGUAAAGGGUGCGUAGGCGGGUCUUUAAGUCAGGGGUGAAAUCCUGGAGCUCAACUCCAGAACUGCCUUUGAUACUGAAGAUCUUGAGUCCGGGAGAGGUGAGUGGAACUGCGAGUGUAGACGUGAAAUUCGUAGAUAUUCGCAAGAACACCAGUGGCGAAGGCGGCUCACUGGCCCGGUACUGACGCUGAGGCACGAACGCGUGGGGAGCAAACAGG
rnacentral:rRNA from 1 species